rnacentral:lncRNA from 1 species
UCCUCAGCAGCCUUGAUAAUUUGUUGAAUUGUUUUGGUUCUAUCACCAUUUUGUGCUUCACUAAGAUCAAUUAUUGGGAUGGUUUUGUUGAUUGGGAUUUUGAAAUUCCCUGGUCUUGUUUCUUGUGGGAAUACAUAGUCCUCAGGCACAGAUUUGAUGCUUGACCGGUUUGAAACAAAUUUCUCCAUAUCUCCUUGAAGUAGCUUGAUUAUGCUUUAUUAGUAUACAAUACACAGUGAUAUAUAUAGUAAUGGCAAAAACUGAAUGUGAUGUAUCAUUAACAUCAUCAUUAUUAUUAGUUGUUACUUGUAAAAGGUUUUCAUCUUUGGAUUGGCCAGAUUGCUGGUCCCAUGGAAUUGUGGUGGUUCUAGUGUGUGUAUGGUUUGAGGUGCUGUGGCUUUGUAUCUACAUCUACAUCAAUGUACUCAUAAAUGUCACUAACUAAUCAAAGCUGGACUCAUAAAUGUCACUAACUAAUCAAAGCUGGACUCAUAAAUGUCACUGACUAAUCAAAGCUGGACUAUAUUUUUUUUUAAUAAAUAGGCAAUUAGGCCCAUGAAAUUGUAAGUUUCAUCAAUUAUCCUCCUGAAAUUAUAAGUUUCAUCAAUUACCUCCCUGAAAUUAACAAAAUUUCAAUUACCCCUCUGAAAUUUCACAACGUUAAUCAAUUUACCCCUCCGUCAAAUUUUUCUGUUAGUGAACAUGACGUUUUGCAAAUAUCCCCCUGAAGUUUUGCACUUAUGUGCAAAAUGCCCCCCAAACUUAAAAAUUUAUAUUAUUUUUUUCUUAAAGACAAACAAUUAACGAUUCAAUAUUAAAGCUAACUAUUAAUUUUGGAGUUUGGAAAAACUACAAGCAUAUAUACAUCAAAAUAGGGAAAAAUGUGUAUUUUUAAAGUGACAAUAAUGGUUAUUUCUAAUAGACAAAUUAUUAUUUUUAGGGGUUUAAAGACAAAUUAAUAAUCAGUUUUAAAUUUAUAUUUUCUCCUUCACCAUCUUAGUCUUUUAACUCCUCCAACUCCUUCAACAAUUUGCUCAAACCAUUUAAACUACAUAACCCCCAAUAUUUUUAUAUGAUUUGUUCUUGUUUAGACACUUUAUAGAAAACUUCAUUCUAACUUCUUGUUUGUGCUUCAGGUAGGGACAAUCAUUCAUCGUAUACAAUCUAGCUCACACCACAAUACUAUCAGACCGACAUAUCAUAUAUAGCAUAUUAAGUAAUAUUCAUGUAAAAAAGACACAAAUCAUCAACAAAUGAAAUAUGCGAUCGGUAUGUAUAGAGGAACACUUAUUGAGAAAUGUCAAACACUUAGACAUAUAUUUAUUUACCUUUGAAAUUAAUUCACAAAUCAUCCCAUUAUUGUCACUUUAAAAAAAAUACACAUUUUUCCCCAUUUUGAAGCCUAUUUUGAUGUAUAUAUGCAUGCAGUUCUUCCAAAUUCUAAAAUUAAUAGUUAGUUUUAAUAUUUAACUAUUAAUUGUUUGUCUUUAAGAAAAAAAUAUUAUAAAUUUUUAAGUUUGGGGGCCUUUUGCACAUAAGUGCAAAACUUCAGGCGGGUAUUUGCAAAACGUCAUGUUCUCUAACAGAAAAAUUUGACGGAGGAGGUAAAUUGAUUAACGUUGUGAAAUUUCAGGGGAGUAAUUGAAGUUUUAUUAAUUUCAUGGGAGUAAUUGACGAAACUUACAAUUUCAGGAGGUAAUUACCUAUUUACUCAUAUUUUUUUUCUUAACGUGAAUGUAUAUUAAUGUUUUUUUAAAUAGACAAAAUGAAAAUAAUUAUUGGAUACUCAUCCACAUAAACGGAGGAGUUAAAACUCAAAUUUCUGUUUACAACGUUCAAGUUUAGCAAUUUUGAAAGUUUCAUCACUUAAACUAGAACUUGUAGACAACAUAAAUAUAUUUAAUAUUUGCUAUAUUGUACAUUAUAAAUUCAAUUGUCAAAGAAUUCUGAUUGAUAUGUUUUGUUACUUUUCAAAUUUUGUUUUAUUGUUUUAGCUUUUUUGUUUUGGGAGUUUGAUUUUAUUGGCUAAGUGUUUGUUUCUAUUAUAUUAUUAUUCUGUUCUUUUUAUUGUCUUAGUUUUAUACUAUCUUUUUUUAUUUUAUUACAAGUUAUACUCCUAUAGUUAUUGCUCUUAUUUUGGUUGGAUGAAGGGGGUAUAACAAAGUUAACCAUUAGAGAGAAUUAAGAAAUCGUGAAGUCUUCAAGUUACUUGAAUUAUUGGCAAUUGAAGUUUUCAUGAAACGAUUUGAGUCAAAAGAAAGAUCAAUAGGCAUUCAGCCAUUUUAGAAUCAAACUUUAUACAACACAUGACACACCUUUGCUAUAAUUUGCAUCACGUAUGGUAACCCCAUGUGAAACAACCAAAAUUCUUCCAAAACAUAUAUGGACAUAUACUUUUAUUGCCAUAUUUUCUUUUCUUCAUAGGGGAUUGUGGUUUUCUUGGUUUACUUGGUGUUGUAUUGGUGACUUUGAUUUCAAAAACGAAGGGGAAGGGUGCACUAUAAAAAAAAAAAAAAAUAGAUAUUUCUUCUGUCUUUAAAUUAUAGUCGUUUAAGAUUUAUGCACGAUUAUUAAGGAAAUGAUUAAUUGUGUUGAUUUUAAGGGUAAAAUUUAUAUUAUUUACUAAAAUAUCAUUAUUAAUUAUAGUUAGUGAAAUAGUUAAGUUAGAUGAAAUUCAAUAAAUAAAGGUAUAAUAAUGAAAGAAAAAAAAUACAUGAUGCAUUGGUAUUCUAAAGUGAUAAUUAUUUUAAGAAAAAGAAAAAUGAUAAAGAGACAAUUAUCGUGGAUAUGCAUUGGAAAGGGAAGAAGGUGGGUGGGGGGAUGAUAAAGGUUGUCAAAGUAACCCAUAGACAGGGUUCUUAGGUAAAUAAAAGCAAUUAAUAUAUCCAUGAAAUUUAAAAUUUAAUGAGCCACAAUUUCAUUUCUUUUUUCUUUAGGGGAGUCACAAUUUCAUCUUAUAAAACUUACAAUAAGUAAUUCCACAAAAAAAAAAAAACUUACAAUAAGUAAGUCUAUUUUAUAAUGUAACAAAAAAAAGUCUAUUUAUAACAUCAUGUUUUACAAUGCAUUUUUUUUUUUUUUUAAGGAAUCAUGCUUUAUAAUUUUUAUUUUUUUUGAAGAAGUUAAAUUAGCUUAUCCAAAUUGAUACCGGAGAGAACCAUCAGACCAAUUCAAGUGGGUUCAUGUUUUACAAUGUUGUUUCCUUUUUGCAUCAGACAUGCUAAUUGUAAAACAUAAAUAUUUGAAUCAAUCAUUAAGUGUAUUUUAACCACUUGAUUAAGUGGUUAAACUCAUAUCCUCAUGUAAAUCAACGAGAGUGUAACCUUUAUAGCCUGACUUGUAUCCCAAGAAAAAAGUUUUUCUAGCUCUAGAUUGAAGUUUAGUUCUAUGGACAGAAAGAGAAGUAGCAUAACACAGACAACCAAAAACUUUGAAAGUUGAAAUGUCAGGUAAUUUGUAGUAAAGAACUUGAUAAGGACACUUAUGAUUAAGGGUAUGAGUGGUGAUACGGUUAAUGAGGAAAAUUGCAUGAGAAACUGCAUAAGAUCAAAAAGAGGAGGGUAGUUUGGAUUGGAAUAAAAAAGUGCUCUACCAACAUUUAAAAUGUGUUGGUUUUUUUUUUCUACCCUACCUUUUUGUUGAGGAGUAGCAACACAAGAUUUUUGAUGGAUAAUGCCAAGGGAAUCAUAAAAGGUUGGAAGGAUAAACUCAUGGCCAUUGUCUGAUCUGACAUCUUUAGGAGUGAUAUAAAACUGGUUUUGAAUCAUGGCAAUGAAACAUUGGACAUGGUGAGAAACUUCAGCUUUGGGUUCAAGGAGAAUAAUCCAAAGAAACCUAUUAUGAUCAUCAACAAUGGUAAGGAAGUAUUUGUGACCAUGAACAGAAGGUACAGAUAAGGGACCCCAAAUAUCAAAGUGUAGCAAUUCAAAAUUAGAAGAUGCAUUAGAAUUACUAGAUUCAAAAGGAAGAUGCUUUUGUUUAGCAAAAUGAUAGACAUCGCAAAUUGAAUUAUUAUCAGAAACAAUAUUGGAGUACAAAGUUGACAUCUUAUUCACUCUUUGAUGAGAUAAGUGUCCCAAUCUGAAGUGCAAUAAGGCUUUAUUGGGAAUAACAACAAUACUUGAAUUACAAGAAAUUGAAGAAAUUGCAUUACAAAUUUAUUGAUAUGACUAGAAAGAUCACUAGCAGAAACUAAAGAUAGAGAAUGGAGUAUGUAUAAACCAUCCACUUGUUUAGCCAAAUCAAUCUGCUUCAUUGAGAAUUGGUCAUGUAUAAUGCAUUGAGUAUGUGAGAAUUGCACAAAACAAGAUAAAGAAUGACACAAUUUGGCUACAUAGAUAUGAUUCAACUUAAAGGAAGGAGAAUAAAGAGCAUUGGUGAGAUAAAGCUGAGAACUAAAAGAAACAAUGUCAUCAUGAUUAACAAGGAUAGAGGUACCAUUAGGUAAAUUGACAUGAACAUGCUUAAUCUGAUAAAAUGAAGUAAAAGAAGCUAAGUUGCCAUAUAUGUGCUCAUUACCCCCAGAAUGUAAUAACCAAUGUGAGGUAGAAGGAAAAAAACAAGAAUGAGUAUUCAGAUUACCUACAGAAGAAGAAGCAGCAGUGUAAUUGGAGGAAACUUGAGGAGAAACACUAAUAUGGUUGGUAGUAGGGUCAGAUGUAGAAGCAGGAACUGAGGUAAACAAAUUUGUCUGCUGCAACAAGAAGAUAAGCUGAUCCAUCUUUUCUUGAGACAAACCAGUACUACCAGAAGAGUUGCUUGCAUCUGAAGCUUCAUUCGAAGUAGCAUUGGCCUGUGAAAUCUUCUUGUUCACAUUAGGAUAGCCAUGCUUUUGAUAGAAAAAGUCAAUUGUGUGAUUGUGUCUAUUUCAAAAAAUGCAAAACCUUGAUGAAGGUUUAGUGAAUGAACAUUUACCACGCCCUUAAGGUUUCUUUGCAUCAUAUGCAUUAACAAGCACAUUAUCUUCAGCAAGAGAAGGGAGUGAAAGAAGAGAAGUAUUAUUACUUUCUUCUUGUAAAACCAAAGAGAAAUUCUUAUUCAAGGUAGGCAAUGGAUCCAUCAAUAAGACUAGAGUCUUCACAGCAAAAAAUUGCUUAUUGAUGCUAGUUAAAAACUGAAUGAUUUGGUCCUCAUUUCUAUAUGUGUCAGUAACCUUAAGAGCAUCACAUCAACAUUGAUGAUGACAGUACAAUUUGGGAGAGGAGGAUGAGAAUGUAAUUCUUCCCACAAAGCUUUCAUUUCAGUGAAAUAAUCCAACACAAAUUUGGUAUUUUGCCUAAGAUUGUUAAUUUAAUUCCAGAACGCAAAUUGGCAAUUCUAAUACGAUCAAUCUUAGAAAAACGUUCCUUCAAAUCCUCCCAAAAAUCAAAAGCAUUAUCAUGAAACAAUAUAGUUUGAGAAAUUGAAUCAGAAACAGAAUUAAUAAUCCAAGACUAUACCAAAUGAUUGCAUCUUUCCGAAGCAUUACGAUUGAGGUCAUCAUGAUCAGGUACAGGUAGAGUUCCAUUGAUAAAGGGAAGCUUGUUCUUAACACCCAAAGCACGCUGCAUUGAUCUACUCCAUGCAAGAUAAUUGGAUCCAUUGAACUUAGGAGACACAAUCACCGAAUUAGGUCCUUCACUAUGAUGAACAAAGAAAGCAGAAUCAGUAUCAUUGUUGCUGUUGUUGAUUCGAAGCACGAACCAUCAUUCCAAAUCAGAGGAAGAAGAUGAAGAUCUUCGUAAGAAAUAAAUGCAGAGAAGCAAUACGCAAAGCUUGCGAAGGAAGAAAGAGAAGAAUCUCAAUACAAAAUUGAGAACAAAACAAGAAGAAUCAUGAAGAGAAAGAGAAAGAAAACUGAUACCAUAUUAUAAAUGAUAGAAAUAAUAUGUAAUUGCUUGAUGAAUCAGAGAGUACAACAACUAUUUAUAGGUAGUUGAUGCUGUACAAUACAUAUGAUGGACUAGCAUCAGCAUAUUAAAGCUACUACUAAGGUAAGCUAAGUUGCUUGUGGUCUAAGCUAUCUAAACCACUCUUAUUAUGUAAUAUAAAUAAAUCCUGAAUUAUUAAAAAAAUAAAAAAUAAGGAGUCCAACAACAACUCUUACAACAUCAAUUUAUUAAAAAAAAAAAUUACAUAAUCGAAUGAUACUUUUUGCCUUUCACAAUAUUUCAUUUAAUCCUUUGGUUCCUCUUCCUCAUAGGAUUUCAGCACCAUAUCCAUAUCACCAUGUUUCUUAAAGAAGCGAGUGAGCAACUCCUUAUAUUCGUAAGACUUAUAAAUAGGUGGAUUGUGUUCAUCAAUGAGAUCUUUUGUUGGUUCAAUGAAACAAUCACCUGAUGGAGCUAUAAAAAAGGCAGCAGUUGUGCGAGCUUGUUCUGAAUUUGUCACAACUCUAUGUUCCACACUUUUUAGCUUACCAUUAGUCAUUAUCUGUAUCCAAUAUUGUAACCCAUCACAAGUCAACAAAAUUUACCAAAUUACAUAAAUUAAUAAGAGACAUGAUUGAAAUGAAAAAAAUACAAAAAAUUUCCUUCAUGUGAGAUAGUGAUAAAUUAGUCCCUAGGGUUAUUAAUUUUUAAAGAAUUAAUGCAUUAAGUGUACCUGCAAGGCGUAGCCUAUGUUGAUAACAAAUGCAUGAGGAAUAGCAUCAACAGCAAUCCACUCUCCAUCCUUAAGUACUUGAAGGCCACAUAUAUCUUCUUGUUGUAAAACGGUUAUGAGGUAAGCAUCAAAGUGUUUGGUUAUACCAAGUGUUAAACUUGGAUCAGGGCAUGGUGGAUAAUGAUUAAGUUGGAUAACUAAUGAGUCACUAAGAUUAUCAUUGUCGAAAUAUCCACACUCCAAACCAAGCCCUUCACUAAUCAAAUUCAUGAUCCUUGAACCCAACUCCUUAAUUUUAGUUGAAUAAUCCCCAACACACUUUCUGCAAGAAAAAAAUGUCUAUUAGAUCUUUAACUGCAUGUGCAAAUUAGGGGUGACAAUGUGAAUAAAUUGAAUACAAUUUAACUUGGAUUGUGUAUUGGAUGGAUUGAACAACCCAUUAAUCUAUUUAUAAUCAACUACCCACUUAGGUUAGUCUGGUGGUAUUGACUUAGGACAUGAGAUUGUGCUCCUCCUCAAGAUCUCCCAAAGUCUUAUGACCAACGGCUCAUAAGGGUUUGCACUUGCCCGCAGCUCCUGACGCCCGCUUGGCGGGCGGAGCGCUCGUUAUCCUUACAGUUCUCUAUGCCGGGGCCCCCUCCCAUUGCUCUAGCCAUAAGUUGUGGCAACUCCAGCUCGAAACCAAAGGGGCCCGCCCUGCAAGGCUAGAGUGAGCUCAGUGGUCAUGUUUAAUUCUCCCCGAUACUAAUUUGAAUGAGUUAAUUUAGCUUUUUCAAAAAAAAAAAAAUUAUAAUCCAUGGAAAACUUCCUAAAACAACUAAAUCAAACCAUCAUCCGGACCAAACAAUCACCUAAUCCAUUUAUUUAUAUUUUGUCCAAUCUAUGCAUAAAAUACUUUAAAAGGAAAAACCUAUUACAAUAUUUUUUUUUUAGUACCACCAGAGCAUCUCCAUUGUGGCUGCAAGUGGUUCUCGGACAUCAAUUUUUGUGGAAAACUGGCGACUUUGUGUUAUUCCUAAAUCAUGACCGUCUUAUUUACCUAAUACGUUGUGAUGCAUUUGAUUUACCAAAAAAACAAAAACUAUGAAUGUUUUAGUUCCUAUUUAUAAGUCUUGUGUGUUUUAAACAGUUAUUAUGUAAUUAAUGUUUGUAUACGAUUGGUUCUUGAAUCGGAUGCCGAGUUUUCGAAAAAAUGUUUAUAUAUGAUUAUUAGAGAGAGAGAGGGAGAGAGGGAGGGAGGGAGAGAGAGAUCAAAUUUAAUUCAUGUUUUGUUAAAAAAAUUAUAUUUUUUUUUUAGAAAAAAUUUCAUUUAAAAAUAUGAAUGUUACACGAGAGUUGACUUCAAGGCAGUGAUCAAAUGUGAUGAUGCAAAUAUUUUAGGAGAAUAAACUCGAAGAAUUUUUUUGGAUAUAUUAAAACACAAAGUUGAUAUAUUUAUAGAGAUAAAAACAUAUUUAACCAUAGUGUUAAUAUUUGGAAAUGAAUAAUAAAUGUAUUUAAAAAUUUGUUGAGGGUUUUUAAUUAUGGACGAGCAAACAUUUUAAAAUUGUCUUAUAAUUAAAGGUCAAAGAGAAUAUGACAAUUCACGAAUUAAUAACCAUUCUAAUGUGAGCAAGCUUAUACUUAUCUUAAUUUGGGCAUAUACUAAUGAAUUUACUCAUCUAACUAAUCAGGGGCGAAUCCACCAUAGAGCUAUGUGUGGCUCUAGCCACACAUGAUUAUACCCUCUUUUUUUUUUUUUUUUUAUUUUUCUUUCAUAUACUAGAUCUCAAACAAUUGAUUAUAACAGUUAUUCUUUCUUUCACAAAAAAAAAAAAAAAAGUUAUAUUAUAUAUAUAUAUAUAUAUAUAUAUUUCUAAAAAAAAAAACAGUUAUAUACUAUAUAUAUGUCUAAAACAUGUGAAGAUUCUUUAUAUGGUCUAUCAGUAUGUAUGGUUGCGUAUAUCAAUACGCAUACAAGACUCUUUUUAGAAAAAAAAUUGUCACUUUUUAUAAGACUGUGUUGAUAUAUAUUUUUAAAUAUAUUAAUUAAUUAUUUACCAACAAACUCCUAUUUAUUUUAUAUUUUUUUCUUCAAUCAGUAUUAAAUACCAUGUUGAAAACAUACACUAACUCUUUCUCUUAAAGAAUAAAAUUGUAAAAACAAUAGCAAUUACAAACAAACUUAUUACCACUUUCAAUUUUCUUAACUCCCGUUAUUUUUUUAAAAGGACCCUAUAAUUAAGGAUAGAGGGAGUAUGAUUUAAUUCAUAGUUUCUUUUAUAAUUCAGUCACACCUAAACAUUAUAUCUAGAUCCAUGCAUGUAACUAAUGUACUUUGUUCAAUCAUUGUUAUAAACAAAACUUUAUUUUGUAUAUUCAUUGAAUAAUAGGUAGUAUUAAUUAGAGAGAUUGCAAGUAGUGAAAUUGUUAUGUCGACUAUUUAAUUAAGUUAAAGACUAGUUAAUAGCUCAAGUAAUAAUCAAUUUGAGAUAGAGAACUAUUACAAAUGAGACCGACCAAGUUUUCAUGCAUUUACCUGUAUGUAGUUGGAUAUUCAGGCCACAAGUGUUGCCACUGUUCCAAAGGAUAAGCUGGGUGUCUAAGAGUGUCCCUCCAAAGAUGAACCUUAUCAAAUUCAUAUUUGAAAGUGCUAGAAAACAUCUUACAUGUCUUCAAAUUGUUCUCAGGAUACAAGUCGUGUUUGUAUUCAUUAGGCUUCUCAAACACCUCCUUAAAAACACUCAUUGCUUCCUUCAUUUCAUCCAACGAGAGACCAUGAUUGAUAACCUAUUUUAAUCAAAAAAAAUGUCGGGAUUUUAUAUUAGACACAUUGUCGGAGCCACGUUGUGGCCAGGGGGUUCAAUUGCACCUUCUCAACUUUUCAUAUUUACACCUAUUUUACUAUAUUUUCAUUGUCUUGAACCCCCUCAAAAUUAAGCCUUGCACCAUAUUGAAUUGACUCUCUCCUCUCUCACUAGGAAAAAGUUGGUAAAGUUGUGUCUGUGCAUACAGUGUGACAAUAAUACAAUGCAGAUUGCCCAAAGUUUAAGUCAAAGUAAAAAAUAUCAUUUUUUUUAACAGCAAAUUUUAUUUAAAAAUCAGAUCCUUGCUCAAGACGAACAGAGACAGGUGAUAUUAUAAAUAUCAUUUUAUAUUAUAAAUUGAUGAUAGAUUGGAAUCAAAACAAAAUAUCUUGAAUGGAAAUUAAAUCUGGAUAUUUAGCAUAGAAAAUGUAUAGAAUAUUUAGCAUUGUGUUUUCAAAUUUUAACUGAUAAAUAUUCUAUGAUGGAAAAAAAUGUAAGAUGUGGAAAUUUUUCUUAAAUAAAUAUAAAUAUAUUUUAAUAUUUAUAAUUUUACGACAUUCAUCUUUAAAUAUAUAAUUUUUCUAUUGUCUCUAAAUAGGCAAACAACUAUGUUGAUCAUCCAUGAAUGUGUGAGACACUCUUAUACUCUUUAAAUGUAUCGAAAAUACAUUUAUAGUGCAUCUUUUUUUGUGUGGUAAUUUUAUAGAUUAAAUUGAACAAUGACAAAACAUAUUCUAAGAUAUAAUUGACUAUCAAAAAACUAAUUUAAUAAAAGAGACGUUUAGAGAUCAAUAUGAUGGCGAAAUACACAUUCAAGGUAAAAAUUUGGUAGGUCGAAAUUUUGAACCCCUUAACUUAGGGUCCUGGCAACACAACUAAAGUUUGCUUAGUAUAUUUUAGAGGAAAAAUAUAUUUAAUCUUAAAAUAGAAAGAGUAUUUAGUAUGAAUACCUGAAAGAAUCCAAACUCCUCAGAAGCCUUGAUAAUUUGUUGUAUUGUUUUGGUUCUAUCCCCAUUUUGUGCUUCACUAAGAUCAAUUGUUGGGAUGGUUUUGUUAAUUGGGAUUUUGAAAUUCCCUGGUCUUGUUUCUUGUGGGAAUACAUAGUCCUCAGGCACAGAUUUGAUGCUUGACCGGUUUGAAAUAAAUUUCUCCNUUUUUUUUUUUUUAAGGAAUCAUGCUUUAUAAUUUUUAUUUUUUUUGAAGAAGUUAAAUUAGCUUAUCCAAAUUGAUACCGGAGAGAACCAUCAGACCAAUUCAAGUGGGUUCAUGUUUUACAAUGUUGUUUCCUUUUUGCAUCAGACAUGCUAAUUGUAAAACAUAAAUAUUUGAAUCAAUCAUUAAGUGUAUUUUAACCACUUGAUUAAGUGGUUAAACUCAUAUCCUCAUGUAAAUCAACGAGAGUGUAACCUUUAUAGCCUGACUUGUAUCCCAAGAAAAAAGUUUUUCUAGCUCUAGAUUGAAGUUUAGUUCUAUGGACAGAAAGAGAAGUAGCAUAACACAGACAACCAAAAACUUUGAAAGUUGAAAUGUCAGGUAAUUUGUAGUAAAGAACUUGAUAAGGACACUUAUGAUUAAGGGUAUGAGUGGUGAUACGGUUAAUGAGGAAAAUUGCAUGAGAAACUGCAUAAGAUCAAAAAGAGGAGGGUAGUUUGGAUUGGAAUAAAAAAGUGCUCUACCAACAUUUAAAAUGUGUUGGUUUUUUUUUUCUACCCUACCUUUUUGUUGAGGAGUAGCAACACAAGAUUUUUGAUGGAUAAUGCCAAGGGAAUCAUAAAAGGUUGGAAGGAUAAACUCAUGGCCAUUGUCUGAUCUGACAUCUUUAGGAGUGAUAUAAAACUGGUUUUGAAUCAUGGCAAUGAAACAUUGGACAUGGUGAGAAACUUCAGCUUUGGGUUCAAGGAGAAUAAUCCAAAGAAACCUAUUAUGAUCAUCAACAAUGGUAAGGAAGUAUUUGUGACCAUGAACAGAAGGUACAGAUAAGGGACCCCAAAUAUCAAAGUGUAGCAAUUCAAAAUUAGAAGAUGCAUUAGAAUUACUAGAUUCAAAAGGAAGAUGCUUUUGUUUAGCAAAAUGAUAGACAUCGCAAAUUGAAUUAUUAUCAGAAACAAUAUUGGAGUACAAAGUUGACAUCUUAUUCACUCUUUGAUGAGAUAAGUGUCCCAAUCUGAAGUGCAAUAAGGCUUUAUUGGGAAUAACAACAAUACUUGAAUUACAAGAAAUUGAAGAAAUUGCAUUACAAAUUUAUUGAUAUGACUAGAAAGAUCACUAGCAGAAACUAAAGAUAGAGAAUGGAGUAUGUAUAAACCAUCCACUUGUUUAGCCAAAUCAAUCUGCUUCAUUGAGAAUUGGUCAUGUAUAAUGCAUUGAGUAUGUGAGAAUUGCACAAAACAAGAUAAAGAAUGACACAAUUUGGCUACAUAGAUAUGAUUCAACUUAAAGGAAGGAGAAUAAAGAGCAUUGGUGAGAUAAAGCUGAGAACUAAAAGAAACAAUGUCAUCAUGAUUAACAAGGAUAGAGGUACCAUUAGGUAAAUUGACAUGAACAUGCUUAAUCUGAUAAAAUGAAGUAAAAGAAGCUAAGUUGCCAUAUAUGUGCUCAUUACCCCCAGAAUGUAAUAACCAAUGUGAGGUAGAAGGAAAAAAACAAGAAUGAGUAUUCAGAUUACCUACAGAAGAAGAAGCAGCAGUGUAAUUGGAGGAAACUUGAGGAGAAACACUAAUAUGGUUGGUAGUAGGGUCAGAUGUAGAAGCAGGAACUGAGGUAAACAAAUUUGUCUGCUGCAACAAGAAGAUAAGCUGAUCCAUCUUUUCUUGAGACAAACCAGUACUACCAGAAGAGUUGCUUGCAUCUGAAGCUUCAUUCGAAGUAGCAUUGGCCUGUGAAAUCUUCUUGUUCACAUUAGGAUAGCCAUGCUUUUGAUAGAAAAAGUCAAUUGUGUGAUUGUGUCUAUUUCAAAAAAUGCAAAACCUUGAUGAAGGUUUAGUGAAUGAACAUUUACCACGCCCUUAAGGUUUCUUUGCAUCAUAUGCAUUAACAAGCACAUUAUCUUCAGCAAGAGAAGGGAGUGAAAGAAGAGAAGUAUUAUUACUUUCUUCUUGUAAAACCAAAGAGAAAUUCUUAUUCAAGGUAGGCAAUGGAUCCAUCAAUAAGACUAGAGUCUUCACAGCAAAAAAUUGCUUAUUGAUGCUAGUUAAAAACUGAAUGAUUUGGUCCUCAUUUCUAUAUGUGUCAGUAACCUUAAGAGCAUCACAUCAACAUUGAUGAUGACAGUACAAUUUGGGAGAGGAGGAUGAGAAUGUAAUUCUUCCCACAAAGCUUUCAUUUCAGUGAAAUAAUCCAACACAAAUUUGGUAUUUUGCCUAAGAUUGUUAAUUUAAUUCCAGAACGCAAAUUGGCAAUUCUAAUACGAUCAAUCUUAGAAAAACGUUCCUUCAAAUCCUCCCAAAAAUCAAAAGCAUUAUCAUGAAACAAUAUAGUUUGAGAAAUUGAAUCAGAAACAGAAUUAAUAAUCCAAGACUAUACCAAAUGAUUGCAUCUUUCCGAAGCAUUACGAUUGAGGUCAUCAUGAUCAGGUACAGGUAGAGUUCCAUUGAUAAAGGGAAGCUUGUUCUUAACACCCAAAGCACGCUGCAUUGAUCUACUCCAUGCAAGAUAAUUGGAUCCAUUGAACUUAGGAGACACAAUCACCGAAUUAGGUCCUUCACUAUGAUGAACAAAGAAAGCAGAAUCAGUAUCAUUGUUGCUGUUGUUGAUUCGAAGCACGAACCAUCAUUCCAAAUCAGAGGAAGAAGAUGAAGAUCUUCGUAAGAAAUAAAUGCAGAGAAGCAAUACGCAAAGCUUGCGAAGGAAGAAAGAGAAGAAUCUCAAUACAAAAUUGAGAACAAAACAAGAAGAAUCAUGAAGAGAAAGAGAAAGAAAACUGAUACCAUAUUAUAAAUGAUAGAAAUAAUAUGUAAUUGCUUGAUGAAUCAGAGAGUACAACAACUAUUUAUAGGUAGUUGAUGCUGUACAAUACAUAUGAUGGACUAGCAUCAGCAUAUUAAAGCUACUACUAAGGUAAGCUAAGUUGCUUGUGGUCUAAGCUAUCUAAACCACUCUUAUUAUGUAAUAUAAAUAAAUCCUGAAUUAUUAAAAAAAUAAAAAAUAAGGAGUCCAACAACAACUCUUACAACAUCAAUUUAUUAAAAAAAAAAAUUACAUAAUCGAAUGAUACUUUUUGCCUUUCACAAUAUUUCAUUUAAUCCUUUGGUUCCUCUUCCUCAUAGGAUUUCAGCACCAUAUCCAUAUCACCAUGUUUCUUAAAGAAGCGAGUGAGCAACUCCUUAUAUUCGUAAGACUUAUAAAUAGGUGGAUUGUGUUCAUCAAUGAGAUCUUUUGUUGGUUCAAUGAAACAAUCACCUGAUGGAGCUAUAAAAAAGGCAGCAGUUGUACGAGCUUGAUCUGAAUUUGUCACAGCUCUAUGUUCAGCACUUUUUAGCUUACCAUUAGUGAGUAUCUGUAUUCAAUAUUGUAACCCAUCACAAGUCAACAAAAUUUACAGACCUAAAUAAAUUUAAAAGAGACAUGAUUGAAAUGAAAAAAAAAAUGAAAGAUUUCCUUCAAGGGUUUGAUAGUGAUAUUUUGAAGUCAUUGGAGCCAAUCAUUGCUAUUGAAAUCUAUAUUGAAUCUAGAGGAUCAGAGGUGCAGAGGAUUGAGAAAUGAUAUUUUGUACAACCAUUUUCUAAUAACUUUUGUGACAACUUUCUCUAUCAUACUCAUAUUAUAAUUUUACUUUAUCUCUCUAUUGUUUUGGUUUUUGUGUCAAUACAUAAUUUUCUUUGUAAGAGUAUGGUUGUCUAUAUGGUUGUCAAUCAAAUUAAUGUUCAAAUAACAUUGCUCGAGAGGAUUAGAGGGGUCAAGAGGAUCUGAGUAGUCUAGACGAUCAAAGAGGUGCAGAGGAUCAACACCACAAUUGUUCACUAGAGAGGAUGUGAUGCUUAACUGGUAUAGUGUAUAGUUGUUAUGAUGUAUAAAGUGGCGGAGUCAGGAUCAUUACAAAAUCUGGGCAAAAAAUAUUUCAACACAGGUUUACAUAAGAAAUUGCAAGUAAAUAAUCAAAAAAUUUAAAGAAAUUGUCCAAUUUAUAGGGAUUUAUAAAAGAAAUUCAGAGAAAUUUACAUAAAAAAUUGCAAAAUAUUUGGGUCGGAGCCUGAGCAACGCCCAGGCUUUCCGGGCCUUAGAACCGCCCCUGGAUGUAUAUACUAUAGAUUAUAACAAGUUGAUAGAGAUUAGUUAGUUGAAAGUUAAUAACUAGUUGUCAUUAGUUAGUCAGCUAGAGAUUAACUCUUAGUUAGCAUAACCACCUCUAUAUAUACGGUUGCUACAUUAUACAUAUUCUAUCUCUACAAUCUUCUAUCAAAACAAUUUACAUAAUUUUCAUUCAUACUCUCUCAUUUUUCUUCGAAGUUGCAAUUCACCUCACAUUAGUGUGUAGUUCUUCAACCCAGCAUAAACCAUCAAAAUAAUAUCCUUAAAAUGAUAGUAAUUGAUGACAAAUGCAUCAAGUGUACCUGCAAGGCGCAGCCUAUGUUGAUGACAAAUGCAUGAGGAAUGGCAUCAACAGCUAUCCACUCUCCGUCCUUAAGUACUUGAAGGCCACAUAUAUCUUCUUGUUGUAAAACGGUUAUGAGGUAAGCAUCAAAGUGUUUGAUUACACCAAGUGUUAAACUUGGAUCAGGGCAUGGUGGAUAAUGAUUAAGUGAGAUAACCAAUGAGUCACUAAGAUUAUCAUUGUCGAAAUAUCCACACUCCAAACCAAGCCCUUCACUAAUUAAAUUCAUGAUCCUUGAACCCAACUCCUUAAUUUUAACUGAAUAAUUCCCAACACACUCUCUGCAAAAAAAAAAAAAAAAAAAGAUCUUUAACUACAUGUGCAAAUUAGAGGUGACAAGUGAUAGCCCGUAAAUAAGUUGGUUAUCACAUUCCAGUUAGCCCCUAUAAUAGAUAAGUAAUGGAAUGAUUGCAAUGUCUUAAACAUUUAAUCAAUGUCUAUUUUAGGAUUUUAUAGUUUUAAAUAUUUUUAGUACUUUGAAACUAGUAAUGCUUGUUUAUGAUGUUUGAUGAUGUAGGUUAAGGAAUGACUCUAAAGAUGUGGGAAGCUGCAGCGUGGAUUGAAGAUGUAUCACUGAAGAUGUGAAAAGUUGCAGCGUCCUAGGACUCUAGCUGGGUCGUACAUAGUACGAGUGCGUGAGUUCAGUCUCUCCUUGCUUAAUGAGGAAUAAUAUGAGUUGUCCUCAAUGAAUGAAAUCCUAGGAAAAAUAAAAGAAUAUGCCAAUAUUUGAUAAGGAGUGAUGAAUAAGGACAACCCAUGUACUAUAAAAGGACCCCAUGUGUUAGUGCCAAGGUCCGAAAAUUCAUCAUAGAAUUGGAGAUGCCAGGUUACGGCUAGGGUUAACAAAUUUAGAGAUAUUUUCAUUGAUAUUUUCUAAGUAAUAAUUAAUUGGGUUAAAUAAGUAAAUGGUCCCCUUAAAUAUACUAAUAUUUGAUUUUAGUUUCCUUAAAAUAUUCUUUAGGUUUUUUGUCCCUCCAAAUAUUUCAUCCAUGAAAUUAGUCCCUGUUCUCAAUGUAGAGCAUGGACUAAUUUCAUGGAUGAAAAUUUUUAAAGAAAUCAAAAAUCUAAGGAAUAUUUUGAAGGGACUAAAAUGAAAUGUUGGUAUAUUUAGAUGAUUAUUUACUUAUUUAACCCUAAUUAAUUUGAGACAAAAAUAUCAAAUGAGAUCUGUAUGUAGUUGGCAUACAUAUAUUCAUGCAUUUACCUGUAUGUAGUUGGAUAUUCAGGCCACAAGUGUCAUUUACAAGGGUCAAGAGAUAAGACAAUAUAUCAGUUACUCUUAGCCCUCAUUAUAAAGGUUGGAUCAUCUGCAAAUGUAGAGAGUUCUGCAUUGGAGGUAACAAUUAAUGUACAAAUUUUAUGUAUAGCCAUUAUAAUCUCUGGUAUGUUUUAAGAGUAGGUGUUGUUUAAAAAAAAAUGCAUGUUAUCAAGAAUAACAUUUCUGAUAUAUGUUAAUAACUAGAUGCGCAAAAUUUACUUUAACAUGACAUAUAUCGAGUCUUCAAGAGAAAAAUCAUUUUUGCAGCAGUAAAUUCUGAAUUGAGUCUAAUUUACUCUGAUAUAUUGUCUUAUCUCUUGACCCUUGUAACUGAUAUAUAUUUUCUUGUAGUAAUUUACCUGUAUGAGUCUAAGUUGGUUAUCAUGUUACACUUAGCCCCUAUAUAGACAAGUAAUCGAGUGAUUGCAAUUUCUUAAACAUCUAAUCACUGUCUAUUUUAAGAUUUUAUAGUUUUAAAUGUUUUUAUUACUUUGGAACUAGUAAUGCUUGUUUAUUAUGUUUGAUGAUGUAGGUUAAGGAAUGACUCUAAAGACGUGGGAAGCUGCAGCGUGGAUUGAAGAUGUAUCGCUGAAGAUGUGAAAGAUGUGAAAAGUUGCAGCGACCUAGGACUCUAGUUUGGUCGUACAUAAUACGAGUGAGUGAGUUCAGUCUCUCCUUGCUUAAUGAGGAAUAAUAUGCGUUGUCCUCAUUGAAUGGAAUCCUAGGAUGAAUAAAAGAAUAUGCCAAUGGGAAGGUAAGAUUGGAUAAGGAGGGAUGGAUAAGGACAACCCAUUUAAAAUGACCAAAAGGUACAACUUGUAGUGGGUGGCCUUGUACUAUAAACGGACCCCCGAGUGUUAAUGCCAAGGUCGGAAAAUUCAUCUUAGAAUUGGAGAGGCCAGGUUACGGCUAGGGUUAACAAAUUUAGAGAUCUCAUUCUAUCUCAUCUUCUCCAUAUACGUCUUUUUAACACCUUUUACGUAUGUGUUUUAAAAAUAGUUGAUAGUGUAAUUAAGGUGUAUAUGAUUAUUGAUAAAUUGAGUAAUGUUAUUUAAACAUAAAUUUUUUGACAACGUAUUCUGAUAUUAUAUAAAAUGCAUCAUUUAUAACUCUGGAUAUCACUUGUGUGAGAGAGAGUAAACGUAAACUAAUCAAUAGUUGAGUUUGUUGAUAGUAUUAAGGGUUAAAUAUAUUUUUAGUCAUUAUAAAUAUAUAAACAUUUUUUUUUUCUUUGACUUUUUUUUUUUUGAUAGAAAAUUUCUUUGACUUUUAAUCCCUCCUAAAGUUUUCAAUCACCAUUUUUUAUACUUAGUUCUAAGUCAACUCAUAUGUAACCUUCAUAUUUUUUAAUGAAAUAUUUUAGAAAUGAUUAGAAUAUUAUAAGAAUCUCUAAAAAAAAUAACAAUAUGAAUUUUUAAGCGCAAAAAAUAUUAAAAAAGUUAUUUUUAAUUCAUGUUUUGUUUAAAAAUUCUACAUUCUUUUAGAGAUUCUUAUAGUAUAGUAUUCUAAACAUUCAAAAAUAUUAUUUUAAAAUAAGAAGCUUAUUCAAGAGUUGACUUAAAAGUAAUGAUCAAAAGUAAUGAUGGGAAAUUCUUAGAGACUAAGAAUCGAAGAAAAUUUUUAAGUGGAUAAAAACAAAAAAUUGAUAUAUUUAUUAGGAUAAAAAACAUAUUUAAAUCUAGCAUUAAUAAGUUAAUAUUUGAAAAAUGAAAUAAGGUUGUAAAUAGUGAAAUUGUUAUGUCAACUAUUUAAUUAAGUAGCGGACUAGUUUAAUAGAUGUUCAUUUAUAUUUUCUAAAUAAUAAUUAAUUGGGUUAAAUAAGUAAAUGGUCCUCCUAAAUAUACAAAUAUUUGAUUUUAGUCCCCCUAAAAUAUUCUUUAGGCUUUUGGUCCCUUCAAAAUUUUUCAUCUAUGAAAUUAGUCCAUGUUCUCAAUGUAGAGCAGGGAUUAAUUUUAUGGAUGAAAAAUUUUAGAGGAACCAAAAACAUAAAAAAUAUUUUAGAGGAAUUAAAAUCAAAUGUUGAUAUAUUUAGGAGGAUUAUUUACGUAUUUAACCCUAAUUAAUUUGAGACAGAAAUAUCAAAUGAGAUCUGUAUGUAGUUGACAUACAUAUAUUCAUGCAUUUACCUGUAUGUAUUUGGAUAUUCAGGCCACAAGUGUUGCCACUCCUCCAAAGGAUAAGCUGGAUGUCGAAGAGAGUCCCUCCAUAGAUGAACCUUAUCACAUUCAUAUUUCAAGGUGCUAGAAAACAUCUUGCAUGUCUUCAAAAUCUCCUCAGGAUACAAGUCGUGCUUGUAUUCAUUAGGCUUCUCAAACACCUCCUUGAAAAUACUCAUUGUUUCCUUCAUUUCAUCCAACGAGAGACCAUGAUUGAUAACCUAUUUUAAUCAAAGAAAUUUUGGGACUUCUAUUAGACAUGUGUUGACAUGUGUUGCUAUAGUAUAAUGAGCACUAAAAUUACUAAUGAAAAAUAUGUAGGGGCGAAAGUUUGAAGAAAUAUUUUGUAAGAACUAAAAAAAAAACUUACUCCCUCAGUCCUAUAAUAAUCCAGCCAUUUGCAACAAAAAAAAAUUGUAUUUCAUUUUUCAAUACAAUAUUAAUUACUUUUUUCUCUUUAUAACUCUAGUUAAUACUACUUUCAUCACUCACAAUCUACGAAGCAUGGAUACGGACACCGGACACGACACGGACACCGCGUCGACACAUCUAAUUUUUUUUAGAAAAUCACAUAAUUCAGUGUAAUUAUAUGUGUCGGUGUCGGACACCACAUGUGUUUGACACGAGGAUACGCAUUAUUCGAGGAGUGUCCAUGCUUCAUAGCUUCAAAUUCAAUAUAUACCACUUUGCAUUUAUGAUAGUAGAGAAUACAUCAAUAUUUAACAAAAGCACUUAAAACUAUUUUUCUCUCUCAUUUAUUUAUGAGAAAUGCUAAAACGCACGAAAUUAUUUGUCGUCAUUUUUGUACGAAAAAGUGUAUACUUAUUAUUUAGUUCUUUAUCUUAAUUUUAAUUUGACACAAAGUGACAAACUUUGCCUCUUCUAGAUAUAUCUUAUGAUAAAUCACAAAAAUACCUCAUUGGUGGUGCUUCUCCAAGUUUACUGUUGUCAGUCCCUGCCUCACCAAUGUCAUGUAAACCGGUGGAUCAUGCAUGUNUAGUCCUCAGGCACAGAUUUGAUGCUUGACCGGUUUGAAAUAAAUUUCUCCAUAUCUCCUUGAAGUAGCUUGAUUAUGCUUUAUUAGUAUACAAUAUAGAGUGAUAGUAAUGGCUAAAACUGGGGAGAGGAUGUAUUUAU